ensembl:lncRNA
GGAGGAGUGACCAGGCAGGUACUACAGUAGGGAUGGAGGAGUGACCAGGGAGGUACUACAGUAGGGAUGGAGGAGUGACCAGGGAGGUACUACAGUAGGGAUGGAGGAGUGACCAGGGAGGUACUAGGGAUGGAGGAGUGACCAGGGAGGUACCACAGUAGGGAUGGAGGAGUGACCAGGGAGGUACUACAGUAGGGAUGGAGGAGUGACCAUGGAGGUACCACAGUAGGGAUGGAGGAGUGACCAGACAGGUACUAGAGAUGGAGGAGUGACCAGGCAGGUCUGGGCAGAGGAGAUAUAGUCGUUGUUUGUCUGCGUCUGUCAGUUAUUGGUAUGUGUAUGUUGGAAUUUGGUUUGAAAGAAGAAAAAAAAAGAGAAAAAAAAAAUGUUAUUUUGUGUGCUGCAAUAAAUGAUGAAUAAAAUAAAUGCUUAUGUGUCGAUAGGUAUAGUACUGUACGUCAUUAUUCAGUUCAAGCACACAAAGUCUGGGAUUCAAUCAAAGGUGUGUUGUCGACAAACUCACCUGUCAGUUCAGUAGUCAAACCCACCUGUUAGUUCAGUAGUCAAACCCACCUGUCAGUUCAGUAGUCAAACCCACCUCAGUCAGUUCAGUAGACAAACCCACCUGUCAGUUCAGUAGUCAAACCCACCUGUUAGUUCAGUAGACAAACCCACCUGUCAGUUCAGUAGUCAAACCCACCUCAGUCAGUUCAGUAGUCAAACCAACCUGUCAGUUCAGUAGUCAAACCCACCUCAGUCAGUUCAG